UACGGAGGGGGCAAGCGUUGUCCGGACUUACUGGGCGUAAAGGGUGCGUAGGCGGCCUGCUGCGUCGGUGCUGAAAGCGCCUGGCUUAACCGGGCGAGGUCGGUGGAAACUGGCGGGCUGGAGGACGGUAGAGGGGGGUGGAAUUCCCGGUGUAGUGGUGAAAUGCGUAGAGAUCGGGAGGAACACCAGUGGCGAAGGCGGCCCCCUGGGCCGUUCCUGACGCUGAGACGCGAAGGCGCGGGGAGCGAACGGG
rnacentral:rRNA from 1 species